CUGGGUCCUUUAAAUAGAGUGAAAUCAGAACAGAAACAAGGCCUAGGCUCGCCUCGCUGGCACUCAGCGCCCCGCUUAGGGCACCCCGCCGGUUUGUGAUACUAAAUUGGCGCUCAGCUCACUCAGAGGGCAAGCAGGCGUGGUGCAUCUGAAAAGUGGCACUCAGUGCCCCAAAAAGGGCGCCCGUGCGUGGUGCGGUAGGCUCUAGCGUUGAGGGCUCCUAAAAGGGUGCUCAAGCUCCGUGCUUUCCUCCUCUUUGGUGCUUUUCCAGCCUUUUUGAGCUCCAUCUCCUUGGCACUUCAACUCUGCUUCCAUAUUAUCUCAUUUCCUGCCAAAACAAGGGAAUUUAGUCAUAAAAUCAUCAAGUUCAACCUCAACUCUCUUAUUCACAUAACUUAACAAAGAAACAUGAUUUCAAGCAAGUUUCUAAGUAGAAAAGGGUGAAUUUAGUAUCAAAAUUACAACACAGAUAGCGGUAUUUUCAACCGUUAUCAAUUACUAUAGGUCUUUUAUGCAAACAUAAGGGUUGAAAAUGAUAUACAUCACAGGUCUUUUUCUUCUCUCUCUUCUUCUUCCUUUUUUACCUCUUUCUCUUUCUCACUCAAACUUUCUUCUUCUUCUCUCUCUAUUUUUCUCUCAUCUAAAGCCUUGCCACUCUUAGUGAUAAUGGCUUGACAUUCCUUUCUAGGGCUAUUGUUCAUAUUGGCCCCAAGAUCAUCCAGCUUCUGAAUUAUGAAUCUACAUUGCUCCUCCAUCCUUUUAGAUGUUGCUUGAGUGCUUUCCCUAAUUUAGAGAGAUUCCUGCUAGAAUCAUUGGAGGGUCUCCUUAAGCUUUGUAGUAUUGUUAGCUUGUAGUGGUCUAUUGAAUAGUCCACCAACUUGCCCAAAUUGACUUUGAUUCAUGCUUGAGUGAGGUUCCCACCAGUGAUUUAGAUUACCUUGGUAGAAUUUCAUCUUGCA
rnacentral:lncRNA from 1 species